rnacentral:rRNA from 1 species
CCUACGGGUGGCAGCAGUGGGGAAUAUUGGGCAAUGGAGGCAACUCUGACCCAGCAAUGCCGCGUGAGUGAUGAAGGUAAAGUUAUUGUUAAGCUCUUUUCUUCGGAACGAAUAAAUGACGGUACCUAAGGAAUAAGCUCCGGCUAACUACGUGCCAGCAGCCGCGGUAAUACGUAGGGGGCAAGCGUUGUUCGGAAUGACUGGGCGUAAAGGGUGUGUAGGGGGUUUGAUAAGUUAGAUGUGUAAUACCCAGGGCUUAACUCGGGUGCUGGAUCGAAAACUGUGAGACUUGAGUACUGGAGAGGAAAGUGGAAUGCCCAGUGGAGCGGUGGAAUGCGUAGAUAUUAGGAAGAACAUCAGUGGCGAAGGCGACAAUCUGG